rnacentral:rRNA from 1 species
UACGUAGGUGGCAAGCGUUGUCCGGAAUUAUUGGGCGUAAAGCGCGCGCAGGUGGUUUAAUAUGUCUGAUGUAAAAGCCCACGGCUCAACCGUGGAAGGUCAUUGGAAACUGUUAAACUUGAGUGCAGGAGAGAAAAGUGGAAUUCCUAGUGUAGCGGUGAAAUGCGUAGAGAUUAGGAAGAAUACCAGUGGCGAAGGCGACUUUCUGGACACAAACUGACGCUGAGGUACGAAAGCGUGGGGAGCGAACAGG